AAUUAAUUCUCUCUCCACAGUGCCCCAGUGAUGGCAACACAGAAUGGCCAGCACAAUCCUGCACAGCCAGAAACCCGUGAUGGCGAGAAAAAAGAGGCCGCCCAGUACCCCUCGAACCCCCAGAAAAAUAAAUUAUCUGAGCAAUCCCA